UACAGAGGUCUCAAGCGUUGUUCGGAUUCAUUGGGCGUAAAGGGUGCGUAGGCGGCGAGGUAAGUCGGAUGUGAAAUCCCGGGGCUCAACCCCGGAACUGCAUUCGAUACUGCCUUGCUCGAGUACUGGAGAGGAGACUGGAAUUUACGGUGUAGCAGUGAAAUGCGUAGAUAUCUGGAGGAACACCGGUGGCGAAGGCGGCAUCCUGGACCGACACUGACACUGAGGAGCGAAAGCCAGGGGAGCAAACGGG
rnacentral:rRNA from 1 species